UUUGCCUACGGGAGGCAGCAGUGGGGGAUAUUGCACAAUGGGGGAAACCCUGAUGCAGCGACGCCGCGUGUGGGAAGACGGUCCUCUGGAUUGUAAACCACUGUCCCCAGGGAAGAACAUGACGGUACCUGACUAAGAAGCCCCGGCUAACUACGUGCCAGCAGCCGCGGUAAUACGUAGGGGGCAAGCGUUAUCCGGAUUUACUGGGUGUAAAGGGAGCGUAGACGGCAGCGCAAGCCUGGAGUGAAAGGAUGGGGCUCAACCCCAUGACUGCUCUGGGAACUGCGCAGCUAGAGUGCCGGAGG
rnacentral:rRNA from 1 species